ensembl:lncRNA
GUGGCACCCAGGGGUCCUCAGUGCCACCCACAGCCCCCCAGUGGCACCCGCAGCCCCCCAGUGCCACCAAUGGGUCCCCCCAGUGCCACCCACAGCCCCCCAGUGCCACCCAGGGGUCCUCAGUGCCACCCAGGGGUCCUCAGUGCCACCCACAGCCCCUCAGUGGCACCCGCAGCCCCCCAGUGCCACCAAUGGGUCCCCCCAGUGCCACCCACAGCCCCCCAGUGGCACCAAUGGGUCCUCAGUGCUCCCCACAGCCCCUCAGUGCCACCCAUGGGUCCCCAGUGCCACCAAUGGGUCCUCAGUGCCCCCCAGGGGUCCUCAGUGGCACCAAUGGGUUCUCAGUGGCACCCACAGCCCCCCAGUGUCACCCAGGGGUCCCCAGUGCCACCAAUGGGUCCCCAGUGCCACCAAUGGGUCCCCCCAGUGGCACCCACAGCCCCCCAGUGCCACCAAUGGGUCCCCAGUGCCACCCACGGGUCCCCAGUGGCACCAAUGGGUCCUCAGUGCUCCCCACAGCCCCCCAGUGCCACCCACAGCCCACCAGUUUCACCCAGGGAUCCUCAGUGCCACCCAGGGAUUCUCAGUGCCACCCACAGCCACUCAGUGCCACCCACAGCCCCCCAGUGUCACCCACAGCCCACCAGUUUCACCCAGGGAUCCUCAGUGCCACCCAGGGAUCCUCAGUGCCACCCACAGCCCCCCAGUGCCGCCAAUGGGUCCCCCCAGUGCCACCCACAGCCCCCCAGUGGCACUAAUGGGUCCUCAGUGCCACCAAUGGGUCCUCAGUGCUCCCCACAGCCCCCCAGUGUCACCCACAGCCCACCAGUUUCACCCAGGGAUCCUCAGUGCCACCAAUGCGUCCUCAGUGCCCCCCACAGCCACUCAGUGCCACCCACAGACCCCCAGUGCCACCCAGGGGUCCUCAGUGCCACCCACAGCCACUCAGUGCCACCCACAGCCACUCAGUGCCACCCAGGGGUCCUCAGUGCCACCCAGGGGUCCUCAGUGCCACCCAGGGGUCCUCAGUGGCACCAAUGGGACCCCCCGUGCCACCAAUGGGUCCUCAGUGCCACCCAGUGUCACCCAGGGGUCCUCAGUGCCACCCACAGCCCCUCAGUGGCACCAAUGGCCCCUCAGUGGCACCAAUGGGACCCCCCGUGCCAUCAAUGGGUCCUCAGUGCCACCCAGUGCCACCCAGUGUCACCCAGGGGUCCUCAGUGCCACCCACAGCCCCCCAGUGGCACCCAGGGGUCCUCAGUGCCCCCCAGGGGUCCUCAGUGCCACCCACAGCCCCUCAGUGGCACCAAUGGGUCCUCAGUGGCACCAAUGGG